UCUGACCUCAAAUCAGGUAGGACUACCCGCUGAACUUAAGCAUAUCAAUAAGCGGAGGAAAAGAAACUAACAAGGAUUCCCCUAGUAACGGCGAGUGAAGCGGGAUGAGCUCAAAUUUGUAAUCUGGCGGUCUCCGGCCGUCCGAGUUGUAGUCUGGAGAAGCGUCUUCCGUG
rnacentral:rRNA from 1 species